UUAGAAAUAAAUAUGUAAUUAACGAAUAUUUAUUUUUAUAUAUAUUUUAAAUAUUUCAACGAUUUAUGAAAUCAAAAAUAAUUUUAGAAUUUUCCGUUGAAAAGAAUUAGAAUUACAAAAACACGUUCGAUUGAAUUUAGAAAACAAUCCUAAGCGGUGUUGAUUCAAGUUCUAAACUAAAUCCUAACUCUAGCCCAAUUGGGUGAAGCCCAAAAUAACAAAAAGCCAUAACACUUUACUCCAUCCUCUUUCUAUUUCACGUGAAAAACCAAAAACCCCAAAACCCUUUCCCUCCUCAAUUUCACGUAAAGAAAAAGAGAACAGAACCCCCUCCUUCAAUUCUCCCUCACGCUGCUUCCCUUGCUGCUGCCCAGCCGCCGACCACCUAUCGCCGCCGCGACCACCGUCCUCGUCGUCGCCGCCACCAAGCUGCGACCACCACCGCCCACCGUGCAGCGCCAGCCGUGCCACCAACCGCGUUCAACACCGCUGCCCAGCUGCCGCACCACCGGCAACCACCGUGCAGACACCACCGUCCGCCGCACUCCUCCGACCAGUGCCGCCGCCCAUCUCUGCUGCCGCGCCGCCCUGCCCGCCGGCCAGCACCUCCCUCUCUCCCAUUUUUGGCGGAGAAUUCUCUCUAGGCGACUUUUGAAAGUGUUAAAGUGGCCUAUUAGUUUGUUUACACAAGUCUCUAAGGAUCAAUAAGCGUUGCCCAUCUACAGGUUUGAAGAUGAUGCAUCAUUGGGAUCGGGAUUAGAGAGCUUGUAGUUCAUUUGAUUUUCUAAGUGGGUUUUGGUUUGUUUAAGUGGACUCUAAAACUUAUUGAAUUAGUAACAUUAACUUUGUUUUUCGUUGAUUGGUUUUUGGGAUUUAUUCUGAAAAUGAUUAUUUAUAAACCUACAGUUAGUUUUAUGUUUUCCGCUGCAAAAUUCUGAAUAAGCCGUUACGUUUUCACACGGGCGAUAAUGCCUUGAUAAUUCUCUACGUUUUAUAUUAAAAUGUUCUUUUAGAAAAGAGAGAAUUGUCGGGGUGUUACAAAGUGGUAUCUAGAAGCUAAGGUUUUACUUAACAAUUUUUUUUAGGCGCCUAACUAUCUAGUUAUUUAAAAUAAAUUUCUUAAAAAUCGAGCUUCUACGUAUUAUAGUGUUCAAAAAUUGGUACUUUUUUUUGG